rnacentral:rRNA from 1 species
AUUGAACGCUGGCGGCAGGCCUAACACAUGCAAGUCGAACGAGUGGCGGACGGGUGAGUAAUGUCUGGGAAAGUGCCUGAUGGAGGGGGAUAACUACUGGAAACGGUAGCUAAUACCGCAUACCAUCAGAUGUGCCCAGAUGGGAUUAGCUUGUUGGUGGGGUAACGGCUCACCAAGGCGACGAUCCCUAGCUGGUCUGAGAGGAGGACCAGCCACACUGGGACUGAGACACGGUCCAGACUCCUACGGGAGGCAGCAGUGGGGAAUAUUGGACAAUGGGCGAAAGCCUGAUGCAGCCAUGCCGCGUGUAUGAAGAAGGCCUUCGGGUUGUAAAGUACUUUUAGCGGGGAGGCGUUACCCGCAGAAGAAGCACCGGCUAACUCCGUGCCAGCCGCCGCGGUAAUUC